AUUACUAUUUACCAGAGAACUACGAAUUAAAAAUUUAAAACUCAAAGGGCUUGGCGGUGCUUUAGACCCCUCAGGGGAACCUGUCUCGUAAUCGACAGUCCACGAUAUAUCUUACCUCUUUUUGCAUGUCAGUAUGUAUACCGUCGUCGUCAGGUAACUUCUAAAAAUGUAAAAGUUAGCAAAAAUAAGUUUAACUUAAGACGUCAGAUCAAGGUGCAGCCUAUAAAGAGGAGAGGAUGGGUUACAAUUAAAACUCAUAAUUACGGAAGGGAGCUUGAAUAAACUUUAUUUGAAGGCGGACUUGAAAGUAAAAAUUUAUAUAUA
rnacentral:rRNA from 1 species